AUUGAACGCUGGCGGCAUGCUUUACACAUGCAAGUCGAACGGUAACAGGCCGCAAGGUGCUGACGAGUGGCGCACGGGUGAGUAAUGCAUCGGAACGUGCCCAGUCGUGGGGGAUAACUACUCGAAAGAGUAGCUAAUACCGCAUACGAUCUAUGGAUGAAAGCGGGGGACCGUAAGGCCUCGCGCGAUUGGAGCGGCCGAUGUCAGAUUAGGUAGUUGGUGGGGUAAAGGCUCACCAAGCCAACGAUCUGUAGCUGGCCUGAGAGGACGACCAGCCACACUGGGACUGAGACACGGCCCAGACUCCUACGGGAGGCAGCAGUGGGGAAUUUUGGACAAUGGGCGCAAGCCUGAUCCAGCAAUGCCGCGUGCAGGAAGAAGGCCUUCGGGUUGUAAACUGCUUUUGUACGGAACGAAACGGCUCUGGUUAAUACCCGGGGCUAAUGACGGUACCGUAAGAAUAAGCACCGGCUAACUACGUG
rnacentral:rRNA from 1 species